AGGAGUAAAUUCUUAAUGUUCUGCCCAAGGAUAAUCUAGUUCUGGCCUCAGUAGCAGCAUCUACAAAGUGAUAAGGAGUUUGUGACCAUGACAGAAGACAGAACUUUCAGAAGACAUCUUGGAAGCUUACAGAACAGUUUCCCUCUCUUCCUGCUGACAGUAAUGCCAGAGACUGGAAGAUGGCAUUUUCUUAUAGUCAAGUCCUAAAAACAUUCUGCGAUGCAGAGUACAAUGAGAUGAAAGUCUGUUUUCCA